rnacentral:lncRNA from 1 species
UGGAAGGAAACGCUUGAGGCUUGAAGGCUAUGGCGUUUACAGCUUGGAAGGGUAUGAGGAAGAAGGAAAAUCUUAGAGUUAUGCUUGGUGAAGCUUUAUAGGAAAGAUGGGGGAUUUCAAGGCUAAGAAAGUAGUUGUGAUAGUUGAGGAAUGGCUGGGAUGGCUGCUGGAGUACUUGCAGCAGCCGAAAGAAGGAAGCAAGGUGGUCUAAUGGUUGCUGGGGUGCUUAAGCAACCAAGAGAUGGAGG